AACGAACGCUGGCGGCAGGCCUAACACAUGCAAGUCGAGCGCCCAGCAAUGGGAGCGGCAGACGGGCGAGUAACGCGUGGGAACCUUCCCAAUGGUACGGAAUAGCUCAGGGAAACUUGAGGUAAUACCGCAUAAGCCCGAAAGGGAAAGAUUAUCGCCAUUGGAUGGGCCCGCGUAGGAUUAGCUAGUUGGUGAGGUAAUGGCUCACCAAGGCGACGAUCCUUAGCUGGUUUGAGAGAAUGACCAGCCACACUGGGACUGAGACACGGCCCAGACUCCUACGGGAGGCAGCAGUGGGGAAGUCUUGGGACAAUGGGCGAAAGCCUGAUCCAGCCAUGCCGCGUGAGUGACGAAGGUCUUCGGAUUGUAAAGCUCUUUUGCCAGGGACGAUAAUGACGGUACCUGGAGAAUAAGCCCCGGCUAACUUCGUGCCAGCAGCCGCUGUAAC
rnacentral:rRNA from 1 species